UCAGCAGACCGGGCGGCCGCCCCGCGCUUUUUUCGGGUAUUUUUUGCUUGAAGAAAGCGCGGGGAGGAAAGUCCGGGCUCCAAAGAGCAGCGUAACGGCUAACAGCCGUCCGUCGAAAGACGAGGAUAUCCUGUGCCGCGUAUGGCACAGGACCAUGAACCGAUCUUUAGAUCUGGUUCAUGGCAGAGCCACAGAGACGAGUCCUGAACCACUCACUUUGUUCGGAUUCAGGGCAGGUCCCAUUAUGUAUUGAAAACAGAGGGGCUUGCCCUGUACCCGAAUUCCGCCAAAGGCGGGAUGAGUGGUACAGGGGUGAAACGAGGCAAUCUCUAUGCGGAGCAAGACCAAAUAGAUCCCGAUUCAAGGGCUGCUCGCCCUUACUGUAAAUACAUCAGUAUCGGGACGGGUAAGGUCGCUUGACCCUUGGAGUAAUUCAAGGGCUAGAUAGAUGGCCGCUUCCCCCGCGCUUUUUUCAUAGUAGGAAACUGCUUUAAGAAGGCGCGGGGAAGACUAAACUCGGCUUACAGGUCUGCUGAAAAA
rnacentral:RNase_P_RNA from 1 species